ACCUCAGCGCACCCUCUUACUGCCGGACUCGGGUUACUUUUCUUUCAUUUCCCUGAAAACGAGCUGGCUUUGAUUUGCCGGGUGGCUUUUUUCUGACGUGCAGAAUCCUCCAAUAAAAGGUCCGUGAAUGAGGCUGGAAAAGAGGCAUAAAAUGGCCGCUGUAACGGCAGAAUGUGGCGGCGGUGAGAUUUGUUCACAUUUCUGUGCCAUUCUGUGUGUGCGCACGGGGGGCUGUUCAAGACGUGUUGUUGUAAACACGAAACGCCCAUUAUAGAGUAUGAAUGUCAGGAAAUAGCCUUGUCCCAUCUAUACAACGCUGACCACUCCAGAGCAUAGACGGAGCCCUUCGUUGAAAAUGCGUAGCUGUUGCACCGACACCAUAUUUCCAUUGCAAACACGCCCGCUUGGUAUAAAGCGGCGCCUGGUUAAGAGACAGACUCCGCGUAUUAACAGCCGCGCGCUGUGGUUUCUAACGUGUCUGUGCUUAAAUGUCUUUUCUUUACAUGCUAACCCGCUAGCCUGGCGCUAGCGGAGGGGGAUGGGGCGGCUAGCUCCGCAGAGGGCGGGAAGCAAAUGGUGGCCCAUUGUUCUGCGGGAGCUAGCCUGUUAGCACGGCUAGGCUAACUGCAGCAGGCAGCAGACCGCCACGGAAGACGCGGCUAGCUCUAGUUUUCGUUCAUCUCUACGGCUCAUAAACCUGCAGCCACGGGCGGACUGCAGGAGCCGGGCUCCGGCGGGAUGUCCCAGCACGGCAGCGGACCGAAAGAGGGUCCAGCCCGGGUCGGCGGGCCUCCCAGCGCCCCGGCUGAGAAAAUGGAUCCCCACUUUGUUCUCUUUGUUAUUCCCAAUCAGCGGUUGCACCGUUAUUUAUGUUUUACUGAUGAUUGCAGGAGCUCUUCCUAACCAAACACGGACAGAGCUCAUGCCUCCACGGUCAACUAUGAUUUUUAAUAAAACACAUUUAAGCAUUUUACAAGGUUAAAUUGUGAUUAUGAACUGAACACACAGGUUAAAGGGUCAUCCACCCAAAUGUAUUUACAGCCUUCUGUUACCUGUCGGUGUUGUGGGUUUCACCUAAUAAAGAUUUGACUCUGUUGUGAUGAUUAAAAAUGUUGUGACAGGAUGUUUCUGUGUUCAGCCGUGUAUUAAACACAAUCAUCCAUCCACGAUCUCGCUUUGCGUCCAUAUUCUGUCAGAUGUUCCUGCAGCAGCUCCUGCUGUGUGAUCACAGCCCGAGCACAGUUUGGGUUUCUGGCCACAACACCUCAGACUCAGACCGGGACGGACAUCGAUCACAUUGUGUAGAUCAAAGGAUUAAUCAAUUAACAGAAAUAAUAAUGAAAAUGUCCGUUAGUUGCAGCCUAAACUGUUGUUUUAUUAGAUCUGAGUGUGUCUGACGAGACGAGACGUUAGCAGACGUCCCUCGACUGAGAUGGACACGAAAAUCACUUCGCUCCAAACAAAUGUACAUUUACUUUCCUUUGGGGUGACUCAUUGAUCAGCCGUCAAUCAUUGAUUGUGUAUAUUGUAUAUAAUUAUUCCAGGUGUAUAUUUAUUCCAGGUGUGUUCAGUGUAUAUUGUGUAUGUUUAUUCCAGGUGUAUAUUUAUUCCAGGUGUAUAUUUAUUCCAGGUGUAUAUUGUGUAUAUUUAUUCCAGGUGUAUGUUUAUUCCAGGUGUAUAUUUAUUCCAGGUGUAUAUUUAUUCCAGGUGUGUUCAGUGUAGAACAAUGAGAUGAAAAUAUUAAUUGAUCUCAUAUUAAUUGAUCUCAGAGUUGCAGAUCAACUGAAUGACCAGUUAAAUCCGAAGUGACGCGUUUCUCCUUUCUGUCCGCACCUGUCUUCCUCUGCCUCUCGUC